CCUAUAAUUGUGUUUCUUUGUUAAUGACAGAGAGAGAAAGAGAAGCGACUGCUCUAAGAGUGGAAACAAUCUUAAACCAUCUUUAGUCCUGGCUUGCAUCUGACACAGUCCCAUUCAUCUAACAGAGGCUAUACGGUGUCACUGAACUGAGGUGAGCAGCAGCACUACCUAGUCAUCAUUCCAGUGACAGUUUGGUAACCUGGUACCUCGUUACCCUGGAAAGACUCACACCACGAAGGCAAUGUGAUCCUCAGUCAGAUUACCCAAGAGAUGUUCCUUCCUGGAAAGGGAAAUAGGACAGAGAUACAGAGCUGUUUUUCAAUCCCUUCGUUUACAUGGACUCAUUUCAACUCCUGACACUCCAUCAGCUUGGACCUUCCGUGCCACUGGAAAAUGCCAUCACAAAAUGGCACCAUUUUCAGCCCUUUUCUUCGUGAGGUGCAACCACAUUCCUUUCAGCCCAAGAACGGCGAUGGGAUGAGAGAGCGCAAAGACUUUUUCCUUGUGAUCUGGGAGGUUUGGUGUGUGUUUGAACAGGUAUGUAAAGCCGAGAAACAGAAACAAUACGGUCCAAGUUUCAAGAUUUAGCGUGGUUUUCAGGAGGUGCCAAUAUGCUACAUGUGUAAUGUGCAUAUUUCUGGAAAAUUAUGAAUCACUUACUUUUUUUUCCUGUAAA